rfam:Vigna angularis cultivar Jingnong 6 scaffold5_17, whole genome shotgun sequence.
GCCGAGUUGGGUAACGUUAACUUGUGACUCAAGUGAGGGCAUUAUGAUGGUGGGAUAAUACUGUGGUUUCACUUGGUUGGGCUUUGAUUGCAAGAUGUUGGCCUGCCCGUUCCAAGCUGAGAGCUGACCCAAGUGACUUCAGCGAAGGCCUGGGUCUCUUAGGUCCUAAAGUGGAGGGCAAAGCGUGAGGCUGGUUUCACAGAGCAGCGAAAACCUCCCUCUCUUGACGGUGGAGGGAUAACAGGCUGCUGCAGCCACUGUCCUAUAUUAUGCCCAGUGAUCCUAGUUCUUAGACCACCACCACU